GUCAAGCGAAGAAGAGCACAUGGAGAAUGCCUUGGCAUAAGGAGCCGAGAGGACGUGACAAGCUGCGAUAAGCUGCGGGAAGGUGCAAAUGACUAUAGAUCCGCAGAUUUCCGAAUGGGGAAACCCGGCAAAGCAAUACUUUGUCAGCAUAUACUGAAUAAAUAGGUAUAUGUGGGGAGACCCGCUGAACUGAAACAUCUAAGUAGGCGGAGGAAGAGAAAUCAAAAGAGAUUUUCUGAGUAGCGGCGAGCGAAAGGGAAAGAGGCCAAACCGAUGGUAGUAAUACUGUCGGGGUUGAGGACUGCGAAACGCAUUCGGAGUUGAUAGUAGAAUUGACUGGGAAGUCAAGCCAAAGAGGGUAAGAGCCCCGUAAACGAAAUUGACGAAGAGCGAGCAGGAUCCAGAGUACUGCCGGACACGAGAAACCCGGUGGGAAGCAGGGUAGACCACUAUCCAAGCCUAAAUACUACCUAAUGACCGAUAGAGAAGCAGUACCGUGAGGGAAAGGUGAAAAGAACCCCGGGAGGGGAGUGAAAGAGAACCUGAAACCGUGUGCUUACAAGCAGUCGGAGCACGUUAAAGUGUGACGGCGUACUUUUUGUAGAACGGUCCGGCGAGUGUAUGUAUGUAGCAAGGUUAAGAGCUUAAGGUUCGAAGCCGCAGGGAGACCGAGUCUGAAUAGGGCGAAAGAGUUGCAUGUAUACGACCCGAAACCGAGUGACCUACCCAUGGACAGGUUGAAGCUAGAGUAAAAUCUGGUGGAGGACCGAACCCACGUAUGUUGAAAAAUGCGGGGAUGAGCUGUGGGUAGCGGAGAAAUUCCAAUCGAACUCGGAUAUAGCUGGUUCUCCCCGAAAUAGCUUUAGGGCUAGCCUCGGAUUAGUUUAGCGGAGGUAAAGCACUGAAUGGGCUAGGGGGCGUAUAGCUUACUGAACCCUAUCAAACUCAGAAUGCCGCAAAAAUGAUGUCCGGGAGUCAGACUACGGGAGAUAAGUUUCGUGGUCGAAAGGGAAACAGCCCAGACCCACAGCUAAGGUCCCAAAAUAGGUUUAAGUGGAAAAGGAUGUCUAGUUGCAGAGACAACUAGGACGUUGGCUUAGAAGCAGCCAUACAUUUAAAGAGUGCGUAAUAGCUCACUAGUCGAGUGAAUAGGCGCCGAAAAUUUAACGGGGCUAAAACCUAUACCGAAGCUUGGGAAUGUAACUUAGGUUACAUUGGUAGGGGAGCAUUCUAUUAUAGGGAGAAGCAUGACCGGAAGGACAUGUGGACGAGAUAGAAGAGAGAAUGCCGGAAUGAGUAGCGAGAAUUAUGUGAGAAUCAUAAUGGUCGAAAACCUAAGGUUUCUUGAGGAAGGUUCGUCCGCUCAAGGUAAGCCGGGAGCUAAGGCGAGGCCGAAAGGCGUAGUCGAUGCACAUACGGUAGAAAUUCCGUAGCCACCGAAAUUGUUAAGCACAGGGACGCAGGAACAUAAUCCAACCGCACCGAUGGUCGAGUGCGGCGAAAGGGAGCGAAAAUUAAGUAGCGAAGUGGAUGAUUGUACACUGACGAGAAAAGCUGUGUGUAUUGAUGAGGUGCCCGUACCGUAAACCGACACAGGUGGGUGAGGAGAGAAUCCUAAGACCAGCGGGAGAAGUGUUGUUAAGGAACUCGGCAAAUUGACCCCGUAACUUCGGGAAAAGGGGUGCCUGCUAGCGCAGCCGCAGAGAAUAGGCCCAAGCGACUGUUUAGCAAAAACACAGGUCUCUGCUAAAUCGAAAGAUGAAGUAUAGGGGCUGACGCCUGCCCGGUGCCGGAAGGUUAAGAGGAGGACUUAGCGCAAGCGAAGGUCUGAAUUGAAGCCCCGGUAAACGGCGGCCGUAACUAUAACGGUCCUAAGGUAGCGAAAUUCCUUGUCAGGUAAGUUCUGACCCGCACGAAUGGCGUAACGAUUUGGGCACUGUCUCAACAACACACCCGGUGAAAUUGUAGUACCGGUGAAGAUGCCGGUUACCCGCGACUAGACGGAAAGACCCCAUGGAGCUUUACUGUAACUUGAUAUUGGAUUUUGGUAUUGCAUGUACAGGAUAGGUGGGAGACAGAGAAGCACAGACGCCAGUUUGUGUGGAGUCAAUGUUGGGAUACCACUCUUGUGAUACUGGAAUUCUAACCUGCGGCCGUGAAACCGGUCGGGGGACAAUGUCUGGUGGACAGUUUGACUGGGGCGGUCGCCUCCUAAAGAGUAACGGAGGCGUUCAAAGGUUAGCUCAGUACGGUCAGAAAUCGUACGAAGAGUGCAAACGCAAAAGCAAGCCUAACUGCGAGACGAACAGGUCGAGCAGUAACGAAAGUUGGAGUUAGUGAUCCGGCGGUAAGAGAGUGGAAUUGCCGUCGCUCAACGGAUAAAAGCUACCCUGGGGAUAACAGGCUGAUCUCCCCCAAGAGUCCAUAUCGACGGGGAGGUUUGGCACCUCGAUGUCGGCUCAUCGCAUCCUGGAGCUGGAGUCGGUUCCAAGGGUUGGGCUGUUCGCCCAUUAAAGCGGUACGCGAGCUGGGUCAGAACGUCGCGAGACAGUCGGUCCCUAUCUGUCGCGGGCGCAGGAAAUUUGAAGGGAGCUGUCCUUAGUACGAGAGGACCGGGAUGGACGUACCACUGGUGUACCAGUUGUCUUGCCAAAGGCACGGCUGGGUAGCUAAGUACGGAAGGAAUAAACGCUGAAGGCAUCUAAGCGUGAAGUCCCCCCUAAGAUAAGAUUUCCCAUUCUUUAAAAGAAGUAAGACCCCACGUAGACUAUGUGGUUGAUAGGUCGGAGGUGUAAGUGUGGUAACACAUUAAGCUGACCGAUACUAAUAGGUCGAGGGCUUGACC
rnacentral:rRNA from 1 species